ACAGAUUUGGUGGCAGCGGUCUUGUACACCCUGUUACCACGGUUAAAUAAUCUGCCAGGAUUAUUUAACCUUCGAAAAACCACCUGCCAGGGUGGUUUUUUCGU
rnacentral:antisense_RNA from 1 species